AUACUCUGGUUUCUCUUCAGAUCAUAUAAAUCUUUCGCCUUUUACUAAAGAUUUCCAUGGAGAGGAACAGUUACAAACAAAAAAAGAAAUCGGAGCUUCUAAGAACUCAAGGUGU